ACUCACUGUCACCACUCUUCCUCUCUCUGCGCUCUCUCUUUCUCAAGGAAAACCACCACCAGUACCACCGCAUGCCACCACCACCCACCCUACACCACCACCCACCCCCAUAUUCUUUAGGAUAUGCAUGCUAUCUGAGCUGGCAUCAUGGAGAAUCCUGCCAUCUGACAAAGACCUUUGAAAUGGUGCCCUGCAUAUGCGGAAUAACAGGAGCCACUAUCAUGAACAUUAUAUGACAUAUCACCAUCACCAUUCUCAGUGCCGUUGUUCUUCAAACUUUAAUUAUCACUAGAUUUGAAUAUGGGUUUUAGGGCUUCAAUUUUAGGUUUGCAUUUGGGGUUUUGAUACGGUGGUCGUGGUGGUCGAGUGAAGACGGUGGUUGUGGUGGUCGAAUGGUGGGUUCACGGCGGCGGUGGAGGGAGGGAGCUUCGAAGAUAUCGGAUCUGAAAAAGAUCUAUUCUCUACUUACAUGAGCAUUGAAAAAAUCGGAUCUAUCAUCAAUCCUGAUAAGCUUACUGAGUUGUGGACUGUUGAUUCGAAGUGUACUAAGAAGUACUUUCUACUAGUGUUGUUUUGUUGUGAUUUGAAAUUUGAUCUGUUAAUUAUAAGAUGUGUUGUUACUAAAAUUAAAUAUGGAUCAAUGUGAAUUCCAAAUUUGAUUAUGAAAUCA